AUUGGUGUGAUUGUGAGUGCUUGUCUCAAUGUGCCCUGCGAUUGGCUGGCUACCAGUUCAACGUGUACCCCGCCUUCUGCUCAUUGACAGGUGGGAUCGGCUCCAGCACUCCCCGGGAACCUUGUGAGGAUAAGCGGCAAAGAAAAUAGAUGGAUCGAUCAUGUGGGGGGGUUGACGCUCUCUAACUGCAUCUAUGCACAACUGUUACUCUUAUCAGAAAUAGUUCCCUAUUAAUUGCAUGUCUUUUGUUCUUCGUAAUUGUUAAGUCUGUUUGUUCUUGUUCUGAAUGUCGUCCCAGUCAACAUAAAUGUCGUACAAGGGCGGCACCGAGACCGGAGAGAAAUUCCUUGUGUGGUGUUCCAUACUUGGCUAUUAAUGCUGAUUCUGAUUUUGAAUUCAACAGAGAUGCCUGAAGUUCGGGACCUUUCUGAGCCUUCACCAGAGAAGCCCAUGGACCCGAUCACUGGAGUUGGUGUUGUAGCCUCCAGGAGUAAAGCACCGACUGGUUAUGAUGUUGUUUCAACAACAACAGACGGUCUGGAUGCUGAUUUAUGGAAGGAUGGACUUUUCAAGUCCAAGGUGACCCGGUACCUGUGCUUCACCAGGGUAUUCUCAAAGGAAAAUAGCCAUUUAGGAAAUGUUCUAGUUGACAUGAAGCUCAUUGACAUAAAGGACACCCUGCCUGUGGGAUUCAUUCCAAUCCAGGAGACUGUUGACACUCAGGAACAGGCAUUCAGGAAAAGGCGACUCUGUAUCAAGUUUAUUCCACGAGACUCGACAGAGGCAGCCAUCUGUGAUAUUCGUAUCCUGGGAAGGUCAAAGCAGGCUCCCCCACAAUACACCUUUAUUGGAGAGCUAAACAACAUGGGUAUCUGGUAUCGUAUGGGUGCUGUGCCACGAACUCAGGACCCCUAUCACACAUCAACUGUGAAUGACGUCCAGAUUAUGAAUUCUGUCUCCGCUUCAGCUCCUGUCCAACCAACUUCCAUGACUAAGCAUUUUUCCAUGACUCUUCCUGCCACUUUCAGAGGGAAAAACACUACUCGACCAGAUUACGAGCACCAAAACUCCAACUUCUAUGCAAUCUCUGCUAUGGAUGGAGUGCCCUUCAUGAUCUCUGAGAAGUUCGCAUGUGCCUCAUCAGAACGGUCAGCGGUGCUCGACCAGCAGGAGCAGCCACCACAUCUCCAACAUGCCUCCACGGUGCUCAACCAGCAACAGGCGCAGCUGCCACCUCCCGACCAUGCCUCCGUGGUGCUCGAAGAGUUGCAGCAAGUGGAUCUCAUUGGCAUUACCAUCAAAACAUUGGCUGAGAUUGAGAAAGAAGGUGCCCUGACUCUCCCUUUCACGAUAAGAUGAGAAGUUUGAUCAUCAGGGAAGGGCUCAGAGUUGAGCCGGUGCCCCUCUGCAUUGAGAGGAGCCAGUUGAGGCAUCUGAUUCGGAUGGCUCCCAGACACCUCCCUUGUGAGGUAUUCCGGGCACGUCCCAUCGGAAAGAAACCCCAAGGAUGACCCAGGACAUGUGGGGGAGGCUACGUCCCUUUGCUGCCCUGGAAACGACUUGGGACCCCGCCCCAAGUAAGAUCUGAUGAAAUGGCUGUGGAAAGGGAAGUCUGCGCAUCCCUGCAAAAGCAACUGCCCUCACAACCCGACCAAAAUGUAUGAUUACAGUUUUCGUACUGAACACAGCGCCGCAGCACGGCUUCCUCCCAGUCCAACUUGGACAUCUCUGAGCUCUGAAGCCUAAUGAGCCCCACUACUGACCUUACCACACCCCCUGCAGAGACACCACCAGGACGGACUUGUUGUCCCCAUGGGGACACCCCACUAGAUUCAACGCUCUACUCAUCUACGUGAAUUGAGAAAGAAGAAUGAGGCAACCAUGAAUUGUUUUUGAUCCUUCUUCUCUUUCUGCAGUUGAAAUUAUAAUGAGAUGCAUUUUAAUUGGGAUACAUGAGUCAAGAGAACUACUAUAUCUCCCCAAAUGGAAACUUACUAGUUUUACAACAUUGGAGACAGGUUAUUAGGCUGACUUCAAGUAAAUUUAAACUUAUCACAGGGUAGCCCAUUUUUCAAUAUAGUAGUCUAUAUAGAUACAGCGGUUGACUUUAAACAUUACUUAACAAUAUGUUUUGUUGUUUGUGUAUAGCAAAUAACCACAUCCACUGUGAUGGACUUUAAUUAAGUGUACUGUGAUUUUGUUGUCUGCUGUGUGAUUAUUGAUUUGGGCGUUUAUGCCAAUAAGGGGGGGAAACUGAUGAGUUGGAGAAAAAGUUUUUACCUUUCAUUAAAAAAAGCAUGAUUCAGUGAUUUAACUUGAGUCUAACGUUUACAAGUUGUGGUAAUUCAUGUAUUUUACUCUGUAGGUUUUCUUGUAAUCAUGCGUCAUGUUUAACAAUGAGUAUAAGUGCUGUUACUGACAACUGAGACAAAUUAUGUAUUGACCAUGCCAUUUGGAAAACUUUAAGCAUCUGUUGUAUUUAUGUGCAA